UGUGUGUUAGUGGAAGCGUCUGGAAAGGCGCGCGAUACAGGGUGACAGCCCCGUACACAAAAAUGCACAUGCUGUGAGCUCGAUGAGUAGGGCGGGACACGUGGUAUCCUGUCUGAAUAUGGGGGGACCAUCCUCCAAGGCUAAAUACUCCUGACUGACCGAUAGUGAACCAGUACCGUGAGGGAAAGGCGAAAAGAACCCCGGCGAGGGGAGUGAAAAAGAACCUGAAACCGUGUACGUACAAGCAGUGGGAGCACAGAGCAAUCUGUGUGACUGCGUACCUUUUGUAUAAUGGGUCAGCGACUUAUAUUCUGUAGCAAGGUUAACCGAAUAGGGGAGCCGAAGGGAAACCGAGUCUUAACUGGGCGUUAAGUUGCAGGGUAUAGACCCGAAACCCGGUGAUCUAGCCAUGGGCAGGUUGAAGGUUGGGUAACACUAACUGGAGGACCGAACCGACUAAUGUUGAAAAAUUAGCGGAUGACUUGUGGCUGGGGGUGAAAGGCCAAUCAAACCGGGAGAUAGCUGGUUCUCCCCGAAAGCUAUUUAGGUAGCGCCUCGUGAAUUCAUCUCCGGGGGUAGAGCACUGUUUCGGCAAGGGGGUCAUCCCGACUUACCAACCCGAUGCAAACUGCGAAUACCGGAGAAUGUUAUCACGGGAGACACACGGCGGGUGCUAACGUCCGUCGUGAAGAGGGAAACAACCCAGACCGCCAGCUAAGGUCCCAAAGUCAUGGUUAAGUGGGAAACGAUGUGGGAAGGCCCAGACAGCCAGGAUGUUGGCUUAGAAGCAGCCAUCAUUUAAAGAAAGCGUAAUAGCUCACUGGUCGAGUCGGCCUGCGCGGAAGAUGUAACGGGGCUAAACCAUGCACCGAAGCUGCGGCAGCGACACUAUGUGUUGUUGGGUAGGGGAGCGU
rnacentral:rRNA from 1 species